AUUACUUCUCGGCCUUUUGGCUUAGAUCAAGUGUAGAAUCCUAGGAUACUUCUCUCUCUAAUUCUACACAUGCAUUCAGGCCCAUUCUUCAAGGAUGAGUGCUGAAAAUUUAAGCAUAUUUCUUCUAUAUAUCAAGAGAAAUAUAAUUUUCCUUAAUACUCUUU
ensembl:snRNA U2 U2 spliceosomal RNA